rnacentral:rRNA from 1 species
AGAAUGAACGUUGGCGGCGUGGAUUAGGCAUGCAAGUCGUACGGGCCGCAAGGCCAGUGGCGCAAGGGUGAGUAAGGCGACGGUAACCAACCCCAUGACUGGGUAUAGCCGCGGGAAACUGCGGGUAAUCCCCAGCGACGUCCCGGGGGGGCAUCCCCUGGGGACCAAAGCUCCGGCGUCGUGGGACGGGCCGUCGUGGUAUUAGGUUGUUGGCGGGGUAACGGCCCACCAAGCCUGCGAUGCCUACCGGGCGUGCGAGCGCGACCCGGCACACUGGGACUGAGACACUGCCCAGACUCCUACGGGAGGCUGCAGUCGAGAAUCUUCGGCAAUGGGCGCAAGCCUGACCGAGCGACGCCGCGUGGAGGAUGAAGGCCUUCGGGUUGUAAACUCCUGUCGAGGGGAAAGAAGGCCGGUAACCGGCUUGACUGAUCCCUGGAGGAAGCACGGGCUAAGUUCGCGCCAGCAGCCGC